UAUGAGCAAUCUGCCUUUCAGAGGGGGAUACCGAUUGGAAACGAUCGUUAAUACCGCAUAAUAUAAUUGAACCGCAUGAUUUGAUUAUCAAAGAUUUAUCGCUGAAAGAUGAGCUCGCGUCUGAUUAGCUAGUUGGUAAGGUAACGGCUUACCAAGGCGACGAUCAGUAGCCGGACUGAGAGGUUGAUCGGCCACAUUGGGACUGAGACACGGCCCAGACUCCUACGGGAGGCAGCAGUGGGGAAUAUUGCACAAUGGAGGAAACUCUGAUGCAGCGAUGCCGCGUGAGGGAAGAAGGUUUUAGGAUUGUAAACCUCUGUCUUCAGGGACGAAAAAAGACGGUACCUGAGGAGGAAGCUCCGGCUAACUACGUGCCAGCAGCCGCGGUAAUACGUAGGGAGCGAGCGUUGUCCGGAAUUACUGGGUGUAAAGGGAGCGUAGGCGGGAUCGCAAGUCAGAUGUGAAAACUAUGGGCUUAACCCAUAAACUGCAUUUGAAACUGUGGUUCUUGAGUGAAGUAGAGGUAAGCGGAAUUCCUAGUGUAGCGGUGAAAUGCGUAGAUAUUAGGAGGAACAUCAGUGGCGAAGGCGGCUUACUGGGCUUUAACUGACGCUGAGGCUCGAAAGCGUGGGGAGCAAACAGGAUUAGAUACCCUGGUAGUCCACGCCGUAAACGAUGAUUACUAGGUGUGGGGGGACUGACCCCUUCCGUGCCGCAGCAAACGCAAUAAGUAAUCCACCUGGGGAGUACGACCGCAAGGUUGAAACUCAAAGGAAUUGACGGGGGGCCCGCA
rnacentral:rRNA from 1 species